AGCAUUGGUGGAAUGGUGAUUUGUGAUAGCUCUGAACAAGCAAAAGAAUUGUUCAAACAGUUUAAUGCUA
rnacentral:tRNA from 1 species